CAUGUUCACACACUCGCAAGGUAAUUCCAGUACCAUUCCUAACUGUUUGUGGUCCCCAGUACAUUACUGCGACUGCAUUAUGAUGAUCUAGUGUUUAUUGUUUGAGUAUUUGCUACUCCAGAGUGCUCGAUGAGGAUUUCUACAUGGCUGAAGUUGAUUUGGUUUUGUUUGUUUUUCUCAUAUUCUGCACACAUUUCUUACAACUGACGCUUUUAUUUCAGGGUUCAUUGGUUGGCGCAUUGAGCUUUGCACUUUCUCCAUGCUUUCUGAGGUACCUAUUAAUUUUGCUUCCUAGCCCUCGUGGUGGAAUGAUGCUGUUGUAUUUGCUACUCAAGAGUGAUCGAUGAUUUCACAAUGCAUAUUCUGAACGAAAUUAACCUGCUUGAUGAUUAUAUGAACAGGCUUCUCGAAUUGAUGAGCUUGUCUUUGCAGGUUUUCACCGCAGCACUAUUGAUGAUGCACUGUUGAAAGGGAGACAGUCAACUGGAGGAUCCCACAUUGCUGAUUUGCUGCUUAGUGUAUCCACACUUAGGUAUGUAUUGGCAUUCACUUGUUGUAUAGCUUGUAAUCCUGUCAGCUUUUUCUAAAUGAUUUUGUGCUGUUGUCAGCGUUGCUAGUACUGUGCAACAAACUUUCAGGCAGACGAUAUUUUCAACAGUUGGCAGGUGCAAUUUGUUUGUGAUGCAAUUUUCCUAUUGAGUAUUUGCUAUCUGAAGAUAUGUGACGACUGCAGUUUGUUCUGAUCUUUUAGCUCUUCUGGGUAUAUAUCUAUAUUUGUGGAUGGAGUUAUUAAACCUUUUGUUCAUAUCUGUGGUGCAGGUCGGGGUCGUGUACUCAGGUGGGAACUUUUGAGGUGGGUAUUUUUCGUUACUGUAGCACACGUUUUGAUAGUGAUGAAAACAACUUCAUGUAGAUAGGGACAACUGAACUCUAGUGAUGUGAAGUUUCCUCUGAUGCAUUUGCUUGCUAAUCAGUGAUUUUUUAAUGUGCAUUUUCUGACGAGUACAUUCUCUUUCAGGUAAGUUGGAUGAACCUAACCUUCGGGAAAUGCAGAGGGAUAUUUUUUUUUUUUCCUGUGUAUGGCAAAUAAAGUUCUUCCAGCCAAAGUAUA